AUUUAAAUUCACAUCUUCAAAUAAUUUAUCGAUACAAUGUUCUUGAUGUCUAUAAUCAGUUUAAGCUUUUACAGUUGAUGGAACGAUUAUCAGAACCUAAAAAUGGCAUUCAAUUGGGUUCAAUAACUACAAUAGGAAAGGAUUUCUUUAUGGUGUUUAUGAUGGAAAUUGGUUCAUCUUUAAUGUUGUUUACUUUGAACUUCAAGCGAUAUUUCUGAACAUUGGAAACGAUUAUCAGUCAAUUAUGAUUUGAUUGACUUGGACACGAUUCCCAAGUAGAUUGACUCUUCAAUGGUAAAAAGCCUAAGCAAAUCUGUUUAUAAAAUUAAAUGUUAAAUCGACUGAUUAUUUUUUCGCUUUCAAUAUCUACAAAAUAAUAUUAAAAAUUAUAAUUAUUCUUGUAAUUCAAUGAUACCCGAAAGAUCAUAAU